rnacentral:lncRNA from 1 species
AACAAAAGAGGGGGAUAUUGGAGAAAGCCGCGGCGGGAACCGGUGCGGGCCUUUUUGUUUUCGCCCUGCGCCCGCUGGUGUGUCUCCGCUGCGCUGGGCCUUUUUUGUGAUGGCGAGGCAAUCGAAGGGGACGCGAGACAGCCGAGAUGUCCGGUUUCUCGCAUUUCGAGCCAGAUUCGGGCAAACGAAGAAGCGAUCGGAAACACCGGACGCUAAACGAAGAGAGUCUCAACCGGGGUUUACCAUGAUGCAUGAUGUGAGUGCGUAGAUUUCCACACGGGUUCUCCUGUAGAGUCGGUCAGGAGACAGGCAAUGGCCAUGUGUUUCUCGACUCGAGCGAAUUGCCUCGCUAUCGGUUGUGUGUUCAGCGACGGCCCGCGUUGUGUGCCUGUCCAGAAUGACGCUAGAGAAGUCGGGUGCCGGCAUGGAAACAUCGUGUCAGCGAUAAAGAAUGCUGCCUAAAUUGUUUCCAGUCACGCCAAGUGCUCGAGGACAACGGUACUCGAAGCGGGUAUCUCUUCCACAGUUGCCGCCCCACUUCUGCGUUUUUGUCCCAGCUGUGGUGUUUGCAGCCAGGGCAUUAUUGUUUGCCUUUUGAAAUCCUCUGUGUUCUCUUCCCGUAAACCUGUGUUCCAC